GACGAACGCUGGCGGCGUGCUUAACACAUGCAAGUCGAGCGAUGAAAGCCUUAUGAACUAUUCGUAGUGAUUGGGGCCGGAUUAGCGGCGGACGGGUGAGUAACGCGUGAGCAACCUGCCUUAAACAACGGGAUAGCCUCGGGAAACCGGGAUUAAUACCGUAUGAGACCCCGCCUUCACAUGAAGAAGAGGUUAAAGAUUAUCGGUUUAAGAUGGGCUCGCGUCUGAUUAGCUAGUUGGUGAGAUAAAAGCCCACCAAGGCAACGAUCAGUAACCGGCUUGAGAGAGUGAACGGUCACAUUGGAACUGAGACACGGUCCAAACUCCUACGGGAGGCAGCAGUGGGGAAUAUUGCACAAUGGGGGAAACCCUGAUGCAGCGACGCCGCGUGAGCGAUGAAGGAAUUCGUUUCGUAAAGCUCUGUCCACGGGGAAGAUAAUGACAGUACCCUUGGAGGAAGCCCCGGCUAAAUACGUGCCAGCCGCCGCAGUAA
rnacentral:rRNA from 1 species